AUUGAACGCUGGCGGCAUGCCUUACACAUGCAAGUCGAACGGUAACGCGGGGCAACCCUGGCGACGAGUGGCGAACGGGUGAGUAAUACAUCGGAACAUAUCCAGUAGCGGGGGAUAACCUAUCGAAAGAUUGGCUAAUACCGCAUACGAUCUACGGAUGAAAGCAGGGGACCGCAAGGCCUUGCACUAUUGGAGUGGCCGAUGUCAGAUUAGCUAGUUGGUGGGGUAAAGGCCUACCAAGGCGACGAUCUGUAGCUGGUCUAAGAGGACGAUCAGCCACACUGGAACUGAGACACGGUCCAGACUCCUACGGGAGGCAGCAGUGGGGAAUUUUGGACAAUGGGCGCAAGCCUGAUCCAGCCAUGCCGCGUGAGUGAAGAAGGCC
rnacentral:rRNA from 1 species